rnacentral:lncRNA from 1 species
CUGAAUCCCAUUUUCUUUGAGAAGUUGCCAUACUGAUUUCCAAAGUGGCUCUACAAGUUGGCACUCCCACCAGCAGUAAACAAGGAGGAUCCAAAAAGAGACAAACUUUGUCCCCUGGAGAAGAGGAUAGGGUCACCAUGCCCUGAGCAAUUUGAGAACAUGGGAAGAGGGGGGAGGGAGCUACGAGAAUGAGAAGGUCUAAAAGUUGCCAGGGAGUUCCAUACAGCCUGGACUGCAAAGAAACAACCAGCUACCCCAGGACAUGGCAGCACUCGAAACUUCUUAGGUCCCCCAAAGAUGGUCAAUGCCCCCCAUGUCAAAAGGAAGCAGUCUUAAGAAUUUGAUGCCCUUAUUCCUUAUUCUGCCAUGUCCAACACCCC